UACGAAGGGGGCUAGCGUUGCUCGGAAUCACUGGGCGUAAAGCGCACGUAGGCGGGUUCUUAAGUCAGGGGUGAAAUCCUGGAGCUCAACUCCAGAACUGCCUUUGAUACUGGUAGUCUGGAGUCCGGAAGAGGUGAGUGGAAUUCCGAGUGUAGAGGUGAAAUUCGUAGAUAUUCGGAGGAACACCAGUGGCGAAGGCGGCUCACUGGUCCGGUACUGACGCUGAGGUGCGAAAGCGUGGGGAGCAAACAGG
rnacentral:rRNA from 1 species